GAUGUAAAAAACCAGGGCAACAUUACAAACAAGGCUAUGCUCUGCGGCAGAAAGUAGCCGUAGGCUCGGGAUAGCCCGCAUCACAAGGAUAUCGAAAAUCCACCCGUCACAAGUUCUACCCUAAAGCUACUAACCCUGCUUGAAUGCCGUUGUCCAAUAUACGUCAACCGACGCCUAAUUUAGACCAAUUUUGAUAGUGUGUUUGAAAACAGCUUCAGUCAGUUCUUUUCAAACAGGUUCGGUGGAGGGUCUGUGGAGAUAGGGGUUUGUUUUUAUAGCGAACCCCAAAUUGGUCUAAAUUAGACAUAGCUCCUACGACUUCCACGACUUUCGUCAAGCGACCCCAAAAGUCGUGCUGUCUCAUUUUCGUAAGGCUCCUACGACUUCCACGACUUUUACGACUUUUUUAUAAGUUUAAAAAAAAAGGAGAGGGGAGGGCAUAGGGGGGGAGGGGGGGGAGAGUGUAAGAAGUCAAAUAAAGUCGUGGAAGUCGUGGAAGUCGUAGGGGCUAUGUCUAAAUGACGGAACUUUUAUUCCACGGGCGCUAUAAAAAGUCGUGGAGGUCGUAGGAGCUAUAUCUAAAUCACGGAACUUUCGCGAAAUGGGAACAACCAGUUCAAGCGAUACUUACAAAGGUCUCAAACACCCGUCAAAAUCUCACAGAAGUUCCCAGAAACUUGCGUGAGGUUUCUAUAUAGGUUUGUGAAGGUCUGCCGUAGGCUAAAUCUCACAGGGUUCUAUAGAAGUCUAUGAAGGUUGCGGCCGCGAGGGGUCUUCAAAAAGGUCUCAAACAGGCUUCUUAAACAAAGGCUCAUUUUGGAGACUUGCGUAAGGUUAUGGGCCUUUUAGACAACACGCGAUAAUACAUUUAGUCAUUUAGACCAAAAUGAGACCAAAAACUACUUGUAGUUAUCACGUUGUGCUUUAAUUAACCAGCGGUCGGUCGGCACCACUGUGCACGGCAUUUCCCCGGGACCUCUCUGCGAACGAAAAAUAAAUGGGAUCUCCCGAGACAUCCUUCAAACCCCCUAAAACCCAUGAAAUAUCUCGCGGAUUUCCGCGAUACUUUACCCACAGACCAGAAAUGGCCGUGCGCGCCAACCCUAAACUUUUCGCGCCCCACAAACCCUAAAGGAUAUUGCGCGACGGGAACAUGAGACCUUUGAGAAACCCGCCUGACGAGACCUUCUCACCUUCUCCUGAUAUUUUAAUGUUCCCGUACCUCCGCUUUUUUUGUGUAAAAUUAGGUUCAAAUUGUGUAUAUUAUUAAGGGUGAGUGAAACGAACCUUGAACGACGCAGUCGGUCAAGCUUAAUAGUAUCACACUAUUUCACCUAAUUUUACACAAAAAAAGCGGAGGUACGUGUAGCCCUACGUGUACUUAUUCGGAACGUUGUACGGAAGACUUUUACGGAAGUACGAAAGUACGAAAGUACUUUCGAAAGUACGAAAGUACGUACGAAAGUACCUUCGAAGGUUCAGACAGUACUUUCGAAAGUACUUUCGUACUUUAUUUCGAAAGUACGAAAGUACUUUGCUACUUUCGUACUUUCGAAAGUACUUUCGUACGAUAGUACUUUCGUACACCGUUACAGUACACGUACGUACGUGUACAGUACACGUACGGAAGUACAACAAUGGAAGUACUUUCGUACUUUCGAAAGUAUGAUAUUUUAUUUCCGGAAGUACGUUGUAGGGCUACACGUACACGUACAACUACGAUUUGUACCUUCGAAGGUACUUUCGUACAACGUUGUACAGUAUGAUACUACUUUCGUACUUCCGUCUGGUACUUUCGAAAGUAUUUCCGUACCUACCUAGCUAGGGCAGUGCUACACGUAGGGCUACGUGUACACGGACGGUACACACGUACAGUGUACCCCGCACAGCGCACACCUGUGAUCUCAGCCUGAUCUCCGACGCGACAGGACAACGCGCGUGGAACGUAGCGAACACACUCCGUCUCGAGCGCGAUGGAGGGCGGCGCGUACGCGCAAGGCGAUCAGACGACGGAGCUCGAGUUUGAGAGCGCCAUGACGUUCGCGUCCGCGCGCGGCUUCGAGCUCGGUCGCGUCGCGGCGCGCGAUCGCGCGCCGUCGCGCUCCGCCGCCGCGUUCGAUCGCAGCUCUAGCGCUCGCUGUUGUUCCACCGCGCACGCAUCGCGUCCGUUCGCCGCCGCGAGCGCGUCGAACGAUCGCAACGUCGGCGUGUGGAGCGUAUGCAAGUCCUUGCUCGCCGGCGGCGUCGCCGGCGGCGUCUCGCGAACCGCGGUCGCGCCGCUGGAGCGUCUCAAGAUCUUACAGCAGGUCGCCGGGAGCACGACGAAAUCGUAUAAGGGCGUCCUGGGCGGGCUGUCGCAUAUCCUACGCACGGAAGGCGUCCUCGGGAUGUUCAAAGGGAACGGCGCGAACUGCGUGAGGAUCGUCCCGAACAGCGCGUCGAAGUUUCUCGCGUACGAGUUUCUCGAGGGAUUUCUAGUCAAACGUGCACGCGAGAGCGACGAAAAUGCGCAACUUGGUCCGGUUACGCGCCUCAUCGCCGGCGCGGGCGCGGGGGUCUUCGCGAUGAGCGCGACGUACCCGUUAGAUAUGGUACGCGGACGGCUCACCGUGCAGGUGGACGGGAAAGGGAUGAAGCAGUACACGGGGAUGAUGCACGCGACGAGGGUCAUUGUGCGAGAGGAGGGCGCCCGCGCGUUGUACAAAGGCUGGCUCCCGUCCGUGAUCGGCGUCAUCCCUUACGUGGGCCUGAAUUUCGCGGUGUACGGGACUUUAAAAGACUACGCCGCCGACUUUCAAGGGUUGGAUAGCGCGAAAGAUCUGUCCGUCGCGAGUGGGUUGGCAUGUGGCGGCGUCGCCGGCGCGAUCGGGCAAACUGUAGCGUAUCCAUUCGACGUGUGCCGGCGAAAGCUACAAGUCGCCGGGUGGGAGGGCGCGAAAGCGCUCGCGGAAGGAGAGCAUGCCAGGCGUUUGUCGAACGUGCGUUACACCGGCAUGAUAGAUUGCUUCGUGAAGACGGUGAAGAACGAAGGUGUCGGCGCGUUAUUUCAUGGUGCGUUCUCGGUCGGCUCCUUGACGUCUUAACUCGUUCUCGCGUCUUGACUUGGUGCCGUGGUGACCUGACGCCUCGUGCUUCUUCGAAACGGUGAUUCCGUCGUCGUCUACCCUCGAACGCGUCUCGCCGUGCAUCACGACUGAACGAUGCGUCUGGUCCGUCACUUCUCUCUUUAGGCCUGAGCGCGAAUUACGUCAAGGUCGCACCGUCGAUCGCGAUCGCGUUCGUGACGUAUGAAGAGCUGAAGAAGCUAUUGGGGGUGGAGCUUUACAUAUCGUCCGGGUGACCGCCGGUGACCGUCGCGUUCUGAGCGGGGGAUGCGUAUUCCUAUAUCACUAUAUUAUUAUUUCUGGCUAAACCCUCCGUCGUCGCGUCGCGUCCUUGAACCCGUGCUACUUGACAAACCGCUUGCACAGCUCCUUGAGCUCGUCUCCACACGCGCUCGUGAGGCGCUCCACUGGGCCGUCCGCAAGGGAAAUGCAUGGCGCGCGUCUCACGAAUCUUCCCGGCAAGCGUGCGUCUGGGGGGAAUCGCGUUCUAUAUUGCCGCUCACGAUGCCGCUGGCGUCGUCCGCGCGCUCGGAGUGAAGAGAAGCCCGACUCUCGACGGCGUCGCUUUCACCGCGCUCGACCUUGGGUGCUUUUACCGUCUAGUUAGUUGUCAAGUCGAAUCGUUUCCACGAGUGGUCAGGAAAUAAACUCGAAGCACGCCAUCCAAGCGCGCGCACGGACCAUCAACACUUCACCGGCCGCUACUUCGCGAGCAUCGGUCGCAGGUGCUGCUCCGCGAACGACGUGAACACUUCCAUCGUCUCCGUCUCCCUCGAGACGCUGACGCGCCCUUCUCUCCAAGAGCGUUCUCGCUUCUCUUCCGCCACGUCGAGCUCUAACGCGUCGAUCUCGUCCUGGACCGUGUAAGCCUCCAUCUUCGCCUCGACGGCGUCGACGUCGCGCUCGACGAGCGCGCGCAGCGCGGAGCCGCCAGCGCGAGCGAACGAGCGCGCGACGUGCCUCGAGAGCGCCUUCGCGCUCGCUUCGUCCGCGCUACGAGUCGCUAUUGCGGCGACGAAGAACCCUUCCUUCUCGCUCGACGCGACGGAAAACCAGGACGUUCGAAGGAACGAACACGAAGGCGGUUGUGCGCCUCCGACGAGGGAGUGCAUCGACGCGAUCGCCGCCACAAGCGGGCGUUGGACCAUGCCGCGCGCGCCGACGGAGCGCGAAACGCGCGAUUCGUUCACCAAGAUCGUCGUCAUCUUCGUGAAUAUCACAACGCCUAGAAGCCACUCGACAGAGGGAUCGACUAGGACGGUCAUCGCGAGCGCAACCCAGGGUCUCGCGCGGCAGGCGCUUCGAAAACGCGGGCCGGGGUGUCCUUGACACCCUGCCCACUCUCUGCGGGUUAGGGGGAAAAUCAGUGCCUUCGCUGCCGUCGGUCAGGUAGUUGGGAGAAGAGGGGCACGGCGCGGCAUGGUAUUUAGUCUGGCAAGUACGGAAGUUCGUGUACUGUACUGGUAAAAGUUCCUUUUCUAAACGCGACAGAACGGAUCCAGUCUCUGACUGAAGUGCCCAUACGAAAGAUCGUGACAGAAACGUGACACUGACAAAUUGCCCAUACGUAACCUGUGGAUGGGCCCAAAUUCCAAUCCGGGCUAUUUAGUGUGCCCCCGCGCGAGUACACGCGGUCGGUCGAAAUCGUCGACCGAACUCGCCAAUCUCGGUUCAAACUCCCCGACUCGACGAAAAAUCUCGUACGAAAACGACCGCACAGCGCAUUCAGUUCGGAUUUUCGAUGGGACGUACAAAAAAUCGGGAGGGAACGCUUAAAAUUCUGGCAGCGCUUUUAGUCAGGAAGUGACGUAUCGUACUCGACGAAAUGUGAUUGUUUAGUAAAUGUGAUGGUUCACGUCAGGUCGGCGGCCGGGUAACGGGCUACAACCCUAAAGUCCUACACGUACAAAACCCUAAAUACUCUGGAUUAAAUUACACCGCUAGAUACUGAGACAGACUACACCCGUCAUCGACCUGUGCUCAGGCGUCACGUCUCUUAGCUCAUCUACGAUGAUCACUCCUCGUCUCCCAACACGGACGCGCAGGAUUUUUUUUUUCCCGACUUCAAGAUCGUGGAGUUGUUGAAAGGUUACGAUUCUCGCAUGACAGAGCGGGCAUAAGUGUCGGCCACGAAUGCGAACGUGCGAUUCGUCGUGCGAGUAGUAGCUUCGUUAAUAAUAAUAAUUAUUAUAAUAAUAAUAAUAAUAAUUAUAAUAAUAAUAAUUAUAUUAAUUAUAAUAAUUAUAAUAAUUAUAAUAAUAAUAAUAAUAAUAAUAAUAAUAAUAAUAAUACGAUUUCUCGCUCGCGAAUCACCGCACCGUUCCAACUUCGUCCGCCGCGCGCGCCGCUUAGAGCGGGAUGCGCUGCGGGGUCCAGCAGAGGUUCGUGUAGACGCAGCCGAGGAAGCACGCCGCGAUCGCGGAGCAGCCGCAGCCCUCGUGCGAUCUCACAACCCACAUCGGGCAGAAGGUCUUGAAGCAGCACUCCGGAGGGGUCUUGUAUUGCUGUCCCCCAUCAUGAUCACCUGCGGCUGCUGCAUCACGGGUUGUUGCGUCAUCGUGGCCUCGCAGACCGGGCCGGCGGUCUCCUUCUCGACCUCGGGGGCGAUGGUGGACAUUUGCAUGUCGGACAUGUUGAGCGGUGGGGCGGCGGCGUGAAGCGCGUCGGGAAUGACAUUUUUUAGAUAUACAAAAAAAACUCGGUGGAGAUAAAAAAAAAAAUAUUGGCUUCCGGCUUCAUUAAUUUUCAGGUUAUUUUCCCCCUCUGCUAUCUGUUCUACCCUGUAUCUGUAUUAAUCUGUUGUUUGGGAGAAGGUUUACCUUCUCACCAUCUAGGCAUUUUUCCCGACCUAAGGGACGAUAAUUUCAACCAAUCAAAUGCGUUUGGCGCCCCGUAUCCAAAGUGCACCCCUUUGUUAGUCUUAAAUGAGUACGCGAAUUUCGUACUACGCGGAAACGGCACCUCGGGGCUCGCGGCUACGACGAAGACGACGACGUGAAGAAAAAAGGAUAAGGAAAAGGGCACGGCUCGCGCACCACACUUCACCACGUGUAAUACAACACACCGCCUUCGUGCCACCCGCGCAUUCCUCCUCCACACGCCCUCCAUCGCGCUACGUAACGCCCCAACGCUCGACGCGCGAAAUGAGCAUCAGGGCUGCAGCACCGAAUAUGGGCCCUUUCACCAGGUUAGUCUGUACGAACUUUCGUACUCUUCACACUAAAUACGCUCCCGGGCCCCUUCUCCCAACUACCGACGGCCGAAGCGCCGGAGGCGCUGAUCUGGUACGUGUACACGUACACGUACCUGUACGUGUACACGUAGUCUGGACCAGAGAGUGACCCGGUCGGAAGGGCAUCAAGGAAGAGAUAGAUUUACUGUGAGGCUGCGACGCCGCUUGAGCGCACUCGAGCACGCGCGCGCGCAUACGUUCGUUCCCUUCGCGCAAUCUAUAUGGCGAGCUUCGUGAUGUCCGCCGGCGCGACCGCGAGCGGGACCAACGCGCGCGUCUCGACCAACGCGCGCGUCUCCGGCCUCGGAUUCCGUCGCGCGGUCGCGGCGCUUCCGCGAGUCACGUCCGCGCCCGUCGCGAAGUCCGUCGCGCCCUCCGCGGUGGUGACGACGUGCGGCAAGCCCGGGGCGAAGGCGAAGACGAGGAAGAGCGCAGCGAAGCGGUACAAGGUCACCGCGAGCGGCAAGGUUCGUCCCCUCGCAUGCCGUUCUCGCGCGCGUCUCCGGAUAGGUCGUUCGCGCGUUGAAUAGGGUUCAGGUUUUCACACGUGGCGGACUAUCCUCCUCCGUCGCUGACGUCGUUCUUCCACUCUCUUGAUCCUCUCUCAGGUUCUUCACCGGCGCCCGGGUAAGCAGCAUCUCAACGGACACAAAACGACGGAGCGUAAGACGCGCUUGAGCGGCGAGCGCCAGGUUGGAAGAGCGCAGAUCCCGCUAGUGAAGGGUUGCCUCCCGUACUUGAAGUCGAAGAUUCGUUGAGGGUUGUGAAGUAGAAGAUUCGCUGAGGGCCACGACGCGGCGAAGGCGCCAUAGCGACGGGUGGGUCGCGUGUUCGCUGUGCCCCAAGAGGGUGGAUGGACGCGCGGCGGCCGGGGCAUGUAAAAAGAUCCAGCCCAAUAUAUUGUCGCGGGUGCAGUGUGUUCAGUUCUUGGAGUUCGUCACAAUUAAGCGGCCCCGCGAUCUUCACCAACGCCGCGAGCGGCCCCGCUUCGCAUCGAAAAGAAUGGCAAGCUCUCUGCUUCCUCGAGCUUCCUGCGGGGCGUCGCGACUGAGAAAAACACGGGAAAAAAGCCCUCGUACACAACCCGUUGUUUAAUCGCGUGCGCGUCACCCUGACACGUCUGGAAGAGCAACUCACGUCUACACGCACUCACGACGGCCCGACGAACUCCCCUAAUGCACGCGCGAGGUCCUCGAUCUCGCGCACGUCCACCCUCGUGUUCACGACUCUUUCACGCGCGGGGUGACCGCACGCGCCCCCGAGCGCGUGUUUCAAACAAAAAACCGGCCGGUUAAGAUCUCUCCUUCCUUCUCGUGUGGUUCCUCCGUAAGGCGCGCCCUUCGCGCGAUCGUUCCCUAAUGCCAACGCCGCGCCCGCGGCGGACUUUCCCUGCGCCCUUGCCCUCGCGAUGGCUUGCGAGAGCUCGAUGUGAUCUUUCAGCUUCCAACACGUUUCGCAGCGCGCGACCGCGAGGUACGGCAUCGAUUUGCACUCCGCGCACACGACCUCGUGGUCGUGAGUCACUCUGCCUCCCAAACAAUCAUCGUCCGCACUCACGCGAACACCUCGAGUCAGCGCCGCGUCGCGUCCGGUGCGUUGCUCACGCGCGAUCGUGAAAAGAUCAUCGCGUAUCAUCCGCGCGACACUCGCAAUCCACGGCGCUCGAGCCUCGUCGCUCACGCCGCCCGGGCUAGCGAAUGAUCGCGCGUGUCGUCUUCCGGUUUCGAGCAACACCCUCUCGUGAGAGAAUACCGCGUUUCGCUUGAACGAGCUCGUGACAUACGCCUCCACCGCGGCUCUUCCGAAUGGGACCCACUCCGCUGUGCCGAAAUUCACGGCUGUUGAACGAACGACGGUCGCACGACGGUCGCGCAGAAAGUCUUGAUUGGUCAGCGACGUCGACGCGAAGGAUGAACGACAGAGCAGGUUCACGACACGAACCCAAUAGCAAUGGCGACGGCGACGCCGCGGGUACCGGUUACGAGGAGGCGAUACGCGGAGUGCCCUCGUCGAGAUCGAGAAGAUGGCAUGGACGUAGACGAAACGAAACGUGCGAUAAUGGUCUAAUCGCACCUUCUCCGACGUUGUACCCGUGCGAGAACCCGGCAUGGUACGCGCGCGGCCACGUCACGAUGAACGUCCCCGGUUUCUGCAACGUCUGAAAUACCGGGACGCCGUGGGCAUCGCGAAGAACCCCGGGGGGUACGAGCGUGACGAGUCGGUGCAACAGAUCCGGGGUGUCGUGCACGCGCGUCGGAACGAUCGUUCGCACCGCGCGUUCAAAUGCGGACGCCGACGCAGGGGGGAUGGAAUACCACGUCUUCGGCGCGCCGUCGUGGAGGUAGUUCACACUUCCGAGGUAGUGAUCCUCGACAUGCCAGCAAAACGCACUGAACAGCAUCCCGAAGUAAAUCCAUGGUCGUGUCAGCCCGGGAAUGUCCCCACCGACAACGCGAAGUAUGUUCGACGGGUGAUUCACGAGCUCGCUGAAAUCCCACGCGUGUCGCCGCGCGCCGUCCUCGCUGUCGCUGUCGCAGUCGCCGUCGCCGUCGCCGUCGCCGUCGCCGUCGCCGUCGCCGUCGCCGUCGCCGUCCGCAUCCGCGCGACGACUCAUAACAUCGUCGCUGAUUUCGUCGUUACCGUCGUAAUUCGCUCUUGGAUACAACCCGAACCCAGAUCCGUACACAUCCGCGUCCAGGUCGCUUCCAUACUCAACGCUGACGCGUUCUGCGUUCGUCUCGACGAUGCGCCAAAGCCACAGGUCGCGUGCGUGCAUUUAUCAAAGUCAGGUGAGUCAUGGAUAGAUAGAAUGUGUGUGUCAUGCAUAGUGAGAACGACUGUGUCAUUCAACAUUUGAAGAAACCGACGGAGAAACGGACAUGAAAAUGUCGCGUCAUUGUCGUCGUCGAGACGAACGAUGACACAAGCAGAGGGAAGAAGGGGAGAUACAGGUAGGGACAGAUUCAAGAGAAGAUCCAUACCAAAAUUCUUCCUCCACCGCCCUUGCCCUCGCGUCCGCUUCCUCGAAUCCGCGCUCUAUCAUCAACCGUUUCACCUCCGCGUCUAACGACAAGUGCGCGUGCAUCCACGCUGCCGCGAAUGAGUCCGCCAUGGCGCGAAAACUCUCGCGCGUGUACCGUUUCCCGUCCUCGAAGUCAACUCCCUCUUGAAGGCGGUGCACCGCUUGGAGUUUCGUGUCGAAUGGGAUCUCGCCGCCGCCCGCGUUUGCGUUGAACGGCGGUCUCCAUCCUGGGUCAGAGACAUGAUCGAAGUCAGCGUCAUAGUUCGUACGGGACGGGCGCCGUCCGCGCAGGCGCGGGGGACGGGGAAGCGCACGGGGUGGAGGCUGGGGGACCGACGCUCGACUCCGAAUCUGAAACUUCGCGCGUCGUCGUCGUCGUAGUCGUCGUCGUCGACGACGACGACGACGCGUCCGCGCGCGCGCGUCGCACCUUCCGGAGGGACGAUUUUCACGAUCCCCGCGGCGAUCCCCUCGCUGGUGAUGCUCUUAAUGUACGCGAACGGGUCGCGGAACUGCUCCGGGGUGGGGUGAAACGUCGGGCACGAAGGCAUACACGUCGAAGACGUUCGCUUUUGAAGUUUCACCGACGCUCGCAGCGCGCGCUGCACCUCGGCCUCAUCGAACAUCGCGUCGUCCGCGUCGCGACGUUUCGCGGGCGGGCGCGUGAGGCGUUUUGACCGCGCCGCCAUCGCGCGGAACACCGGCACCCAGGAAACGCACUGAACGCGUGUCCAUCUUUCGUUUCACCUUACUCGUAUACCCACAACCUGGUCUCGUUCAGGGACGGAAUUCCGUCCCUUUCCGGCGAAAAAACUGAGAAUUUUGCCUAUGGGCAAUUGGUCACAAGUGCCGAAUUUCCGCCGUUUUUCGACGGAAAAUCGGCGGAAAAUCACCAAAAAAUGAGUACGGAUCGGAAAACUACUCGUACUCCAACUGAUUGCCCAUAGGAAAAAUUCUCAGUUUUUCGCCCGGAAAGGGACGGAAUUCCGUCCCUGAACGGGACUAACAACGCAGUGAAAGUCGAAAAAUAGUCAGAUAUACAGGUUACGAGUAUCAUGUCCGGAAAGCGUCGAUUUCGAGUACGAGUACAAAAAUCGAAAUUUCGAUUUUUGCUGGCUUAAUUCGCCAAUCACGGUUUAAAAUUGAGGGACUCCAACUUUUUUGGCUCGACACCCCCCUAAUCCGCGCGGGAACCGACGGCGGCGGCGGCGCGACGCGCCGCGCCGCUUGGAGGGAAUCUGCUUCAACACCCAAAUAUUGGAUGUGGCAAAAAAGAUCCCCCUAAUUCAGCGAUUUAUUAUGUUUCCACGCCCGCGCCGUGCACUUUUGCUCUGACAGCAAAAAAAAGACACAGAACUCCCAUACGAAGCUUCGUGGAACAAAAUGGCCGUCCCCUCACGCGCGCGCGAGACGAGCGGGCGAGCGUCGGCGGCUUAUGAAGUCAUUUCACGGCGGGAGGAGUUGACCAAGGGGUGUUGUUCGAUAUCCCUAGGGUCUAUCUGUGGCGCCGCCGCCGCCACCGCCGCCACCGCGUGUCCGCGUCCGCGGAUUGGCCUGAGAUUACCUCAUUUCGGAGGUCGAGUACGCGAUGAGAUCGAGGAAAUCGAGUGGGCACCUCACGCGCGCGGCGGCGGGUGUCGCAAAUGAGGAGCUUUGAGGGUCGCAGAUGGCAGGGAUCGAACGCUGACGCAUGUGCCGAGGUGCUCUGGGGUUCACGAUCGACGCCGCCGCCGCCGCCCACGACGCCGCGCACCAACAGCGCGCGCCAAAGCUAAAUCUGACUAUUUUUCGACACUGUGCCCGGCCUGGCGUGUGACAACGGCGCCUUUCCGGGAAAAUGUGACGUACGAAAGUACUUUCGUACGAAGUACGGAAGUACUUUCGUACUUUCGUACGAAAGUACGAAAGUACUUUCGAAAGUACGAAAGUACUUUCGUACGAAAGUACCACGUUGUAGGGCUACACACGUACGCUAUCUUUCGUGAAGCCCUCUCCUAUUAGAAGAUACGCAGCCCUCGUGGGAAAAUGUGACGUAUUCGGGCACGAGAGUUUUUAGUCUGGAAAAAAUGCGGUUCGCGGGUCGCCCUCAUGGAAAAAAUGUCCAGGGCCGCCAGUUUCAAACUACGUGUAGUCGGGUAAAAUAAAACGUUGAAACCGCGUCCUCCCGGUGGGGAAAUUCUCAUCGGUGAUUAUUUUUCAGCUAAAGAGAAAACACGAUUGUGACACCACCCCGAGCUCCUUCUCGACCCAUAGCGUCGGAGAGACUCGAUAAGGAUAAUCCGUACAUUUACGAGUACACACAAUUUAUUUCAGGAACCAGUUGCUUCUAUCUUUUGCGUGCGUGCGUGGCGGCUGCCGCCGGCCACCUCCUUCACAACCGAGCUCCUCGGCCUCCCCCGCUCACCGCUCGCGCGCGGUCGGUUCCGUGCAGAGCCUCCGCACAUCGCGCAUCAUCUGUCAUGGCGCGCAUUGCGCACCUUCUCCUUCUCGCGCUCGCGCUCAGCGCGCUGUCCUCCCCUCGUCUCGCCCUCGGGGUGGACCUCUCUCUCGCGGCGCUGCACGCGCGCGCGGGUUGCGCGGAGCACACUUACCCGUACGCGUGGAGUGGAACGCACCCGUCGCACGCGCACGCGAGCGGCACGGCGCCAGCGCCGCAUCAUUCGACGCCGGAUCCGCAUCACGACGGCGGCGAAGAAGCGUAUGUCGACGCGUACGACUCGCCCCCCACAGCGCCAGGGAUAGACAUAGUUACCCCUCACACACCCGCGGCUGUGUGCGACACGACGCAGUUCACGGAACAGCUGCCCGAGUUACUUCCCAGCCUCCCCCGUGCAUCGCAGUGUCGUCGACAUCGAAACAGUGUUGCGACGCCAUCGCGAACACGGUCGGCUCGGACGAAGACGCUUCGCUGCCCGCGUGCCUAUGCAACCGAGACGCGUUCGUGCUGACGGAGCAGCUCCUCGAGGACACCUUUGAGAUGGAUUCAAAGGGCAUGUUGACGGCAUGCAUAUAGAUACACGACGUAAGCGUACCAUACGAGUGCGAAGACGUGAAAACAACACGCGUCAGCGGACGCAGGCGGCGGCGGCGCAGAGUCAGCGAAGAUGACACGUGGGUUCGCGAGCGGAGCAGACGCAACACUGGACGCGCUUGAGCCCGAGCGUGGUGGUUCGAAUCUCGUUCACGACCUGCGGACCCGCGAUCCCGCGAGAAAGGGCGCGUCGUGUGGUGAUGUAUUGUCGCGAAAUUACAUUACACCUUCAUCAAUUCCCUCUACCAAUCGAGACUCUUCUUCCCUCAUUACGGGGACGAUGUGAGUCCUGCAGCGGCGAGCCCAGCCGCGGCUGCGCCCGUGGGCGUUCCCCGCAACCCGAGCGGCACCGCUUUCACCGGAGUCGUCUUUGGGGUGCCAUCAGCGUGAAAGUUGAACGCCGCGAACGCAUCAUCGUCGUAGUCGUCCCCACCUCCUCCGCCGUCGCCAUCAUCCGGCUUAUUUUCUCUUCUUUUCUCUCUCUUCGCCUGGCGCUCCUUAGGAGGCGUCCGUCCGGUGACUUCUACUGCGGGUUCGGAAAGUUUAUGUCUCUUUCUCGGGCUUGGCGUUGACGUCACGCGAGUCUGGCGCGAGUCCGUUCGCCGCGCGUCGGCGUGCGUCUCUGUCGUCGCCGCCGCCGCCGCCGCCGCCGCUGCUGCAGCAGCGUCCGCAGAUUCCUUGCGCUUCCCCAACACCCUCUUUUUUCGUCCUGAUGCUACUGGCGCAGCAGCGGCUUCCAUUAUCUCCAAACUCUUAAGCUUCCAUUCAUUCGUCCGCGGCGUAUCGUCUUUUGGCACCCGUAGCGGUGACAACGACCCGUCGCCGACGCCUGCGACUGCGGCGGCGAGGCGCUUCGAGAGCGUCGGUCUCUCUGCGCCAUCGCAUUCCAAUUCACGGGCGCCACCAUCCGCGAACGAUGCGAUAGUGAUCGGCACGUACUUCGGCGGUCGACCUCGUCGCUUCGUGAUGCCGCUCUUCGGAGGCUUUCCUGCACUGCCGUCGGGGUUAGGGUUUUUUGGCGGUCGACCUCGUCGCUUUGGCGGGCCCGCGGGGAUUUUUCCUGCGCCGUUGGCGCCAUCCUCCAGGCGAAUCUUACGCGGUCUUCCUGCCCCUGGGCGUUUCCCUCCGCGUUUACUCUUCGAUGCAGAGCUGCCGGUUGCGAGAGUGUCCGCGGUCGUCGCUGUAGCAGUUGUAUCCGCUGGACCAGACGUUUCAUUCUUCGUCCCCUCUGGCGGCCGCGGUGGCGACAGCUGCAUGGCUGUGUCAUUCCCUGCGUCGUCCACAGAACACUCCCUCUUCGCUUCUGCAGCACCCGUGCCAGGGAUUUCCACGCCCACGUCAAAUCCCGCCGCCUGAAUCACUAUAUCUGCCGUUUUCGUCGCUUUUGCUUUCUGGCUGCCGCCCGCGGUCGGCGACGUCGCCGGCGCCGCGCUCACGAUCGCCGCGGUGAUGAGUGCAGCAGCAUCCUUCUGUGCAUCUCGUCGCUUCGCGUUUGGGGCGGCAACAUGUGUUGCGUUCGGUGAUUUACUUAACUCCUGCGUCGAUGUGCGAGCGUCCUUCCUCGCAAUCGACGAUCUCUUUCGCGCGUCUGCCGUCGUUGCGGGCGACAGUUGUUCUGGCGGCUCGGAUUCAGACGCGGACGGUACUCCGGUGGUGGCAGUCGCGUCGUCAUCCGUGUCCCCUGACAAUACGGCGUCGUCCAAUGUUCUAUCCGUCGUCGAUGAAUCGUGUACCUUUAUGUUUGAGGCGCCGAACGCGUUCUUCUUUUUCGCGGCCAGCUUUUUCGGUCUUCCCGCGCUUGGAAUCUUUUUUUUUGGUCUUCCCCGUUUCUUCCCGCGCGACGCCAGUGGCGCGUCGUCCGAGUCCGAAUCGGACGACCCGGAGUCAGAGUCGGAGUCGGCGCUGGAGUCGGUGUCGGGAUCAGAACCGGAAUCGGAGUCUCGCGACGACCUCGCUCUUCGCUUUUCGCUCUUUCUGGCGCUCUUCUUCUUCUUCCCUGGGCGAGCGUGAGCGCGAACGCCACCGCCGCUCUUUGACGCGUGAACUUGCGAUCGAAUGCGGCCUCGCACGUUCGGCGACAUCGGCCGCGUGUUGAACGGGUCUAACGCUGGUUUGAACGAUCCCAUGACCCUGCCCGGAACGCCCUCGUUUAUCCAAAACGCCCUCGGCGCUCGGCGUUCACGCCUGCCGGUCGACUUCCCACCCAAGCCUCCGCGGCCGCCGCCGCCUGUGUCGUCCUCGACAUUCUCGGCGCUCUCUCGAUACCCUGUCUUGCGUGUCAUCAGGGAUACCACGACCGCGCGUUGUUGUAUCCUAGACGCUGCCGCGAGUAGCGCGGCUGCUUCUCUACUCCCUUUCUUCGCGCCAGUCUUUUUCGACGGAGCCGUCUUCACACCCGCGCGAACGUGCACAACUUUGUUCCCGUCGUCGUCACUGUCGCUCUCGAUUCGAGUCGUCCGUCUCGGCGCGAGGAGAUACUUCGCGUCCGCGUUCCUCUUUAAUUUCGUUGUUUUGUCAUUCCCGGCAGGUUUGGACGCCGUCUCCGCGAGCUUCGUGAGAGGGUUGCUUUUGUUCGUCCUACCGCGCUUGAAAUCGUCGCCGCCGUCGUCUCUUGAACCCCUCGCGCCGCGUUCUGACUGCGGGUCCAUUUCCUCCUCGUCAUCAUCGAACGAGCGCAUCAUCGGUGAUGUUUUCAACUUGAGUGGCCGUCCUCUUUUCUUUCGAGAGCCGCUGCCUCUCGGGGGUGACGGCGGCGGGGAGAAUAUCCCCACAUUGGUGCCGCCUUCGCCAACUGAGCGUCGCCGAAGAAUCAGGUCGUCCAGAGAGAUACCCGCGUUCGAGGGUUCGACGCCGCCAUCCGCUCUGCCACGAUCUCGCCUGCCGCCGUCGCCCGCGUGAGGCGACCGAAACGACGGCGGCGGCGACGUCAAAUUCGCGAACAACUCUCUUCCCCCACCGCCGUUCGGGGAGCGCGUCCUCCCGCCGUUGUCGCUCGCGUCGCCAAGCAGAAGCGCCUUCGACCCCGGCGUCCGCGCAUUCGACUUCACGAGUCCGUUCGACGACCCCGACAUUGGAAGAUAUUUCACUAAUCCGUCGAACGCGUCGCGUUCGGCGCGCGUGGGCACCGGCGACGCCCUGACCAUGUCCUCGAACUUAUCAUGCACCGCCCUCGCGAGCUCGCCAUUGAGCCAAUCCGCGCCGCUGCCGUUCGCUCCGAUCGACCGGCCGCCGAUAUCGCCCGGGGCGAUCAUUUCGACGAUGUCGUGGUGUAUGCGUUCACGAACCGUCUCGACGACGCUGCGACGCGUCCGAGAUACCCAUCCGUCGCCGCGAGUCCUGCGAGUCAUCGGACGCGAAGGGGUCAAGGAGGCGAGCAUGAGCGUGGGGGUCGGGUUCGUUCGUUCGUUCGUUCGUUUGUUCGUUCGUUCGUUCGAUCCAUGCGAACGAUGAGUCGCGACCGACUCGAGGGGGCGUGCACCUCGAUGAACGACCGAGAUGAGACGCGCGAGGGGUUGGAACCGAGCGGAAGGUCUGGAUUGUCGUUUCGAAUCUCGGCGCGCGGACAAGGACGAGACGACGCGAUCGAAGGACGUCGCGACCGAUUCGGCGACGGGCGGGUGUCGACGCGACGCGCGAGGACACGAGGACGCACUCGUAGGACGUGUACUCCGCGGUGUCUCCUCUCGCAGCGAGCCCGUCGGGGUUCGCAAACCCGCGCCCGAACGCGCCGGGGGCGUUCGGGCGCGGGAGCGAUCGGUCGCUCGCGUGGUGGUGCCCCGAAGACGGCACUAACGCGAAUAUCGCGCCGGAUCUGUCGAGAAAGCGUCGUUCACGCGAGAGUUGCGGGUGGUUUCGUGAGUCAAAGACUUUAAUGGACGCGAAGCAGAGACGCGCAGGUGGAUUUGGACGCUUCGAGCCCGCUCGGAGAGCGUCCCGCGCGCGUCCGGAAGAAGGCGGGAAGAAUGUCGCGAGAAGACGACGACGACAACGACGCCGGGCGCGAACGUACCGCACGGGAUCUGCGGCGCCGCUGGGGGCUUCAUCGUUCCUCACGAGCGGCAUGACUUCCCUCCCUCGUUCAAACGCGGCGGCGUCGGAGCUCCGUGUCUCGUACUGCCCGGUCUGCGGGAACGGCAGUUAGUCCGGACUGGCACCACAUUUCCGGCCCUUUCGAUGUGCACUUAAGAGACGGUAAAUCUCCGGUGAACGUUUACCUUUCAAAAUUUUCGAUCGGUCGAUCUGGGCUCAAAUUCAGAUUUCAUCGCAAAUCGAUCUCAUUUAGGGUUGCAGUCANNNNNNNNNNNNNNNNNNNNNNNNNNNNNNNNNNNNNNNNNNNNNNNNNNNNNNNNNNNNNNNNNNNNNNNNNNNNNNNNNNNNNNNNNNNNNNNNNNNNUGUGAAUUUGAGCCCAGAUCGACCGAUCGAAAAUUUUGAAAGGAAAACGUUCACCGCGAGAUUUACCGUCUCUUAAGUGCACAUCGAAAGGGCCGGAAAUGUGGUGCCAGUCCGGACCUAGCAGUGGUGCACGAAACGAGAUUUUGAAGCGCACUCGGUACAGGUACACUACGUGUACACGUACUGGUACAAUCCUUCGAAGGUAAUAAUACUGUACACAUAUGGUACAGACAGUAGAUGUACAGUACGAAGGUACAAGUUGUACUGUGUAUAUCUGAUUUUACGUGUGUACAAAAAGACUGAGCUAUCCAUGCGGGGAAAACAAUACUUUACUGUAACGCGUUGUACGUGUACACGUACUGUACGUGUACUCGUACAAGUCUCGUACGAAAGUACUUUCGUACGAAAGUACGAAAGUACCUUCGAAGGUACUUUCGUACUUUCGUACAACAUACGAAGGUAUGAUACUGUACUACUCGUACGCCCUUAAGCCGCGAAUUAACGUGAAUUGACGGAGCCUAAAGGGUUGAACCCUUCGGGUUCAUUUCACCCUUAACUCUGUCGGCAGCGCGCGCGCGAGUACGCGCGAGUACGCGCGAGUACACGCGGUCGGUCGAAAUCGUCGACCGAACUCGCCAAUCUCGGUUCAAACUCCCCGACUACCGACGGCCGAAGCGCCAGAGGCGCUGAUAAUAAUGGAUCAGUACGUGUACAACGCGUUAACUAACGCGUUGUAGUACACGUACCUCCGCUUUUUUUGUGUAAAAUUAGGUGAAAUAGUGUGAUACUAUUAAGCUUGACCGACUGCGUCGGUCAAGGUUCGUUUCACUCACCCUUAAUAAUAUACACAAUUUGAACCUAAUUUUACACAAAAAAAGCGGAGGUACGACGAUGACCGCUGCGCGGUCAUCGCUAAAUUAAAAUCUCAGGAGAAGGUGAGAAGGUCUCGUCAGGCGGGUUUCUCAAAGGUCUCAUGUUCCCGUCGCGCAAAAGCCUUUAGGGUUUUUGGGGCGCGAAAAGUUUAGGGUUGGCGCGCACGGCCAUUGUCGGUCUGUGUGCGAAGUUUCAUGGAAAUCAGUUAAGAUUUUGUGCUUUAAAUAACCAGCGGUCGGUCGGUACCAGUCGUCGGGACAUUUCUCCGGAAGCUCUCUGCACACGAAAAAUAAAUGCGAUCUCCCGAGACAUCCAUAGACUAA
rnacentral:lncRNA from 1 species